UGGACUUAAUUCUAGUAGAGAAGACAGGGGCUGGGCUGGAGAGAUGGCUCAGCCGUUAAAGGCUAGGCUCACAACCAAAAAUA
rnacentral:miRNA from 1 species